rnacentral:snoRNA from 1 species
CUUCAGUGAUGAUACGAUGACGAGACAGAGCAGGACUGGUCUGGUUCUGCAGGUUACUGGUUCUGGUCCACGUUCUGUGGUUCUGCUCCAGUUCCUCAGAUCAGCAGGUUCUCUCACGUGAAGACACAGAGGCAUUUGUCUGAGAAGG